rnacentral:rRNA from 1 species
GUAGGGUGCAAGCGUUAAUCGGAAUUACUGGGCGUAAAGCGUGCGCACGCCGUUAUGCAAGACAGAGGUGAAAUCCCCGGGCUCAACCUGGGAACUGCCUUUGUGACUGCAUGGCUAGAGUACGGUGGAGGGGGAUGGAAUUCCGCGUGUAGCAGUGAAAUGCGUAGAUAUGCGGAGGAACACCGAUGGCGAAGGCAAUCCCCUGGACCUGUACUGACGCUCAUGCACGAAAGCGUGGGGAGCAAACAGGAUUAGAUACCCUGGUAGUCCACGCCCUAAACGAUGUCAACUGGUUGGUGGGAGGGUUUCUUCUCAGUAACGUAGCUAACGCGUGAAGUUGACCGCCUGGGGAGUACGGCCGCAAGGUUG